rnacentral:snRNA from 1 species
AGCUUUGUGCAGUGGCAGUAUUAUAGCCAAUGAGGUUUAUCUGAGGCACGAUUAUUGCUAAUUGAAAACUUUUCCCAAUACUCCGCCAUGACGACUUGAACUAUAGUCGACAUUGGCAAUUUUUGACAGUCUCUAUGGAGA